rnacentral:rRNA from 1 species
AUUGAACGCUGGCGGCAGGCCUAACACAUGCAAGUCGAGCGGAUGAAGGGAGCUUGCUCCUGGAUUCAGCGGCGGACGGGUGAGUAAUGCCUAGGAAUCUGCCUGGUAGUAGGGGAUAACGUCCGGAAACGGGCGCUAAUACCGCAUACGUCCUGAGGGAGAAAGUGGGGGAUCUUCGGACCUCACGCUAUCAGAUGAGCCUAGGUCGGAUUAGCUAGUUGGUGGGGUAAAGGCCUACCAAGGCGACGAUCCGUAACUGGUCUGAGAGGAUGAUCAGUCACACUGGAACUGAGACACGGUCCAGACUCCUACGGGAGGCAGCAGUGGGGAAUAUUGGACAAUGGGCGAAAGCCUGAUCCAGCCAUGCCGCGUGUGUGAAGAAGGUCUUCGGAUUGUAAAGCACUUUAAGUUGGGAGGAAGGGCAGUAAGUUAAUACCUUGCUGUUCUGACGUUACCAACAGAAUAAGCACCGGCUAACUUCGUG